AGCAGAGUGAGAGUACGAGCGGAGAUCCGAAUAGCAGAACUGAGGCAGAUUGAAGAAGGGGUUCAGCCGUUUAUUUUGUUCGUGUGAAGAAACUGUGAGUGUUUAUGAAUUAGAUCAAGCUGACCGAUUCUUCAAGUGUACCUGAAGAACAUCAUCAAAGCUCCAUGCCUCCAUAAAUACAUGACAUCUUGAAGACCCCUUCACUUCCACCAAUCAGUCCCAGCUUUCUUUGGCACCCCAUCGGCCACAAUGGACAUCAGUAAAGCGAGCGUUUGCUACAGCAACAAGAGUCUCAAGUUCUUCUACGAAAACAGCAACAAGACCAUCAGCGAUUUGUGGAGGACGAAAGACAUUGUGGUUGUGGCUCUGGGACUGAUUGUCUGUUUCUUUGUGAUCUUCGCCAACACCUUGGUCAUGAUGGCGAUCUUCCUCAACCGCAGGUUUCAUUACCCCAUUUAUUACCUGCUGGGGAACCUGGCGGCUGCGGACCUGUUUGCUGGAAUCUCCUACAUGAACCUGAUGUUCCACACCGGCCCCUGGACCAUCAAACUCUCCAUAUAUCAGUGGUUUGUUCGGCAGGGUUUAAUCGACACCAGUCUAACAGCGUCCGUCAUUAAUCUGAUGGCCAUCGCUCUGGAACGACACCAGACCAUCUUCACCAUGCAGCUCCACAGUAAGAUGACCAAUCACAGAGUCGUGCUGCUCAUCAUCGGCAUCUGGGUCAUCGCCAUAGUGUUGGGCGUGGUGCCUACUAUGGUAUGGAACUGUAUGUGCAGCAUCAAGGAGUGUUCGUCGAUGGCGCCGCUGUACAGCCGCAGUUAUCUGGUGUUCUGGGCCGUGCUCAAUCUGCUGACGUUCACCGUCAUGGUCGCCGUCUACACUCGGAUCUUCGUGUAUGUUCGACGCAAGAACACGCGGAUGAGUCAGCACACGUCACAAGUCCAGUACCGUGAGACGGUGGUGAACCUCAUGAAGACCGUCGUAAUGAUAUUGGGAUGUUUUGUGGUCUGUUGGACGCCUGGCCUGGUUCUUCUUCUACUGGAUGGUACAUGUAGAAAGUGUGACGUUCUGACCUAUGAGAAGUACUUCCUGGUGCUGGCCGAGUGCAACUCCUUCAUGAAUCCCAUCAUCUACUCCUAUCGGGACAAAGACAUGCGCAACACCUUCAAGCGCAUCCUCUGCAUCGCCUGUCGGCCGAAGCAUCAGAAGGACGAGCACUCGGGCGUCCGCUUCAACACCCUCAAGCAAGAGGUAUUCUCAGAGAGCGAUGGGACCCACGGUCACCAUGACAACAAUCACCACGGCAGUCUCAAAGCCGCCCCUAAGCGCCCCCUUUAGUCCUGGACGAGUUACUAUCCCGCAGUUUCUCCGACAGGGCAAACUAAUGCAAACCGCAGUUCUUGACAGUCGCUUAUUUACGGUCAAAAGAACUCCUUCAGGUAGUCGUUUGGUCACAGAGGAGUCCUUGUAAUGAAUUUGGAAAAACUGUCGCUCGCAGGGUUCGUGACGGCGACUCUGGAGAACACGCUAACGGAGGUCAGGUGGUUCUGAAAGACGCUGAGAAGAUCCUCGAGUCCUCUGACAGCUGAGAGAUGAUCAUGCUGACGCUUUUGGGUUUAAUGGGAAAGAUGGUCCUGGGACGUCCAUUGGCGCUUCAUACAGCGUUGUGAUUGGCUGAAUGAACUGUCGAUCUAGGGACUGUCCAGUGUAAAGCUGCCUCACGUGUUUUAGAUGCAUUCACAGUUACAACUGAAACGGAGACUAGUGUAAAUAUUGUUUUAUUUAAUUGUCAUUUUACCGGGGGAUUUUAUUUAUGUGUGUUAGAAAUGCAUUGAAGCCCUGAAUUGUUCAUAUGCACUGACUUGCAAUUAAACAGACUAAUAGAAAGUUUAAUGUGUCAUCACUUGUGAAGUCAAUCAGACACGCGGUGUUCUUUAUUAAAAGUGAUCUGUCAUUACUCAUGUUGUCACAUGUUUCGAUGAGGGUGAAUAAACGGCACAACUGUUGUUGGGUUGGCAUGAUCUCUCAGAUGUCAUGAGGCGUAAAGUCAUGUUCCCUUCACCAGUAACGAUCAUGAGAAAGCGGUUCAACAGGUUCACAGCCGUUUUUGCACUGACUGACUUAUGAACACGUUCUUCCUGAACUUUUAUUCCAUAACUGCAUGAAUGCAAGAGUUGGAUCAGCACAUAAUUUGGUGUACAUGAUCUACAGAAACCCCUGUCAAAACAUUAUCAAAAGAAUGUCGAUACGUGAAAUCGUUCCUAAGAUAUUAACAAUAAAAUUACUUCAGUUAAAUGCAAUUUGAGUAAUUGAUUAAUUUCUACUCAUGGCAAACUCCAAAAGUAACCAAACCCGGAACACACAGUCAACAGGACGUUUAGAAGACAUCAGCAACGUUUUGUACAAUUCCGCCUCUCGGGGGCGCUACAGCUCAAACAAACGGUGAUAACUUUGCAACCGUUUGAGCAACAGUUCAAAUUAAAUAUCAUCUUUGGUUAAAAUACUAACAUAUUCUUUCAAAAACGGAUUCAGCAAAUUUACAAAAAUGGCCGCCACCAGCCAAUCAA